GUGUUCCACAAGAUAGGUCUAACGUCACGGGAGAAAGAUUUAUUCAUAUUCUAUUAACAUGUUCACAUAAACAGUCAACCAGGCUAUUCAGUCAGUCAGCAUGGCAAACAGCGUAUCCAACAGAAGGUUCGAACAGAAUCGGACUCUCAAAACACGGACUCAGGUGGAAUUGAACAAAAAUAGGUUAUUAAUACAAAAACGCAAGAUUGGCAAAGUACAAUAAAAGAUGCUAGUUGCAAUAACCGGGGAAAAUCAAAACUAACCAAAAAUGCUUGCGAAAGGCAAGGAUAAUAUGAACGGAAAUAGCUUGUCCUGAAUAGACCAGAAUAUGGCCAAAACGCGAGGGAUACAAAACCGAGACAAAACUUAGCAGCAAACAUCCUUACUAUGACGAAUGCAAAAACGAGGCACGAAAAUACAUGGCGUGAACAAGAGAGAUUGUCUAGAGAAUUCAACACGUGGAGACAAAGUCAUGAAUAAGGUGUGCACACUGGAGGGAGGGCCAUGGACUGCCACCUGCUGGACACACACAAGCACAGGUUCAUGACAGCAGCAAAUUGUAAGUUGACCAACCGUGGAAGUGCUGCGGUGUGAGCGAUUCAUUGGCGAGUGGUCCGACGUGCCCCCUGGAUUUCAUGGAUGCAUGAAUAGUUACUGCACACACAGGGCCGUGGACUGUCCUUGACUUAUGAAACCUCCUCAAGCAUGCUGGCAGAAGGGGGUCAACAAUUACUUUGUAGUAUGACUAGAAUUGCUACAUUUCGUAAAUGAAAAUAAAUGACGCCCAUCUCGACAUCUAUGGUCCACGGCCCCUGUGAGAUUGUACGCAGCCCCUAGGAGUGUUAUAUUUUUAUUUGUGUCCAUGUUUUUAUCUGAUUUCAGGAUCUUGAGAACAUCCCCAACUGCUUUUAAAGCAAGGGCAUCUUUAACCACCGUCGCUGCCUAUGUUCUGCCUACAGUCGUUUACGAGAAGACUUUUUGUAUCUGCCCACUGGCGGUGCCGCGUCGUCAUUCGUCACGCUGGCUCCUGUGGAUAGAACGGCGCCUGUGACCCCACCACCAGCAAAGGAGCGAGGCAACGAGGGCGAAGGGACUGCUGAUGUAAGGGGGUGCAGUCAGGUUGCAUAAGAACUGAUCAGUCAGUGGAAUUGAUGAUGACUGAUGAUUGCAAGGAUGUUGGCCUUACACACGAUUACAUACACCGAUGCCUCGACUCUGGACUACAAACAAUGGCAGCGAAAUUAUAAGAUGAAAAAUUGUGCCAAUUUGUGUGUGUGGACAAACUGAUGUUGAUGUCACAGCUAUCUCACUACUUCUUUGCUAGUUUUGGUGAGUGGGACAAAAUGUCGAUAUUCAGAUGCUUUGAUCGUUAUCUGAUUUUAAGUCUAUAUGAGACAAUAUCAUACAGUAGAAAAAGAUGUGUCACACAACUAAACAAAAAAUGUGACAAAGAUGGACACGCGGAUCAUGUAUGUACUUUCUGCCAUCUCGUGGAGGACCAUUCAAUUGUUCUGCCUGUCAUUGUUUGUCUUUGGAUUGUUGACAAAGAGACAAUAUUUGUACACUCUCAGAAAAAAAAUGAAAGGUACUGAAGGGGUCCAUUUUUGUACUACAAAUAACAACUGUUGUGAUGUACCAAACAGGGGAUCACAAUUGAACCCCAAGGUACAAAUAAAUGACGAGAAAUUGCACAAAUGUUGAAAAAAAGUACACCAUGAUUUGCAAAUCAUGCUCAACUAUAUUUAAUUGAGGACACAACAAAUACAAGAUGUUUAAUGCUCAAACUGAUAGAUAGAUAGACAGACAUCUAUAAUCGCAGGGCACACCGAGUCAAAC